rnacentral:rRNA from 1 species
AACGCGAAGAACCUUACCAGCCCUUGACAUGUCCCGUAUGGAUUUCAGAGAUGAGAUCCUUCAGUUCGGCUGGCGGGAACACAGGUGCUGCAUGGCUGUCGUCAGCUCGUGUCGUGAGAUGUUGGGUUAAGUCCCGCAACGAGCGCAACCCUCGCCCUUAGUUGCCAUCAUUCAGUUGGGCACUCUAAGGGGACUGCCGGUGAUAAGCCGCGAGGAAGGUGGGGAUGACGUCAAGUCCUCAUGGCCCUUACGGGCUGGGCUACACACGUGCUACAAUGGCGGUGACAGUGGGACGCAAUGGAGCAAUCCUGCGCAAAUCUCAAAAAGCCGUCUCAGUUCGGAUUGGGGUCUGCAACUCGACCCCAUGAAGUCGGAAUCGCUAGUAAUCGCGGAUCAGCACGCCGCGGUGAAUACGUUCCCGGGCCUUGUACACACCGGUAUCUC